rnacentral:rRNA from 1 species
GAUGAACGCUGGCGGCGUGCUUAACACAUGCAAGUCGAACGAAGCACUUUAUUUGAUUUCCUUCGGGACUGAUUAUUUUGUGACUGAGUGGCGGACGGGUGAGUAACGCGUGGGUAACCUGCCUUGUACAGGGGGAUAACAGUUGGAAACGGCUGCUAAUACCGCAUAAGCGCACAGCAUCGCAUGAUGCAGUGUGAAAAACUCCGGUGGUAUAAGAUGGACCCGCGUUGGAUUAGCUAGUUGGUGAGGUAACGGCCCACCAAGGCGACGAUCCAUAGCCGACCUGAGAGGGUGACCGGCCACAUUGGGACUGAGACACGGCCCAAACUCCUACGGGAGGCAGCAGUGGGGAAUAUUGCACAAUGGGCGAAAGCCUGAUGCAGCGACGCCGCGUGAGCGAAGAAGUAUUUCGGUAUGUAAAGCUCCAUCAGCAGGGAAGAUAAUGACGUUACCUGACGAAGAAGCACCGGCUAAAUACGUG